ACGCUGGCGGCGUGCCUAAUACAUGCAAGUCGAGCGAACAGAUGAAGUGCUUGCACUUCUGACGUUAGCGGCGAACGGGUGAGUAACACGUAAGGAAUCUACCUAUAAGCGGGGGAUAACAUUCGGAAACGGGUGCUAAUACCGCAUAAUAUCUUCUUCCGCAUGGAAGAAGAUUGAAAGACGGCUCUGCUGUCACUUAUAGAUGACCUUGCGGUGCAUUAGUUAGUUGGUGGGGUAAUGGCCUACCAAGACGAUGAUGCAUAGCCGACCUGAGAGGGUGAUCGGCCACAUUGGGACUGAGACACGGCCCAAACUCCUACGGGAGGCAGCAGUAGGGAAUCUUCCGCAAUGGGCGAAAGCCUGACGGAGCAAUGCCGCGUGAGUGAAGAAGGCCUUCGGGUCGUAAAACUCUGUUAUAAGAGAAGAACAAAUUGUAGAGUAACUGCUACAGUCUUGACGGUAUCUUAUCAGAAAGCCACGGCUAACUACGUG
rnacentral:rRNA from 1 species